UACGUAGGUGGCGAGCGUUGUCCGGAUUUACUGGGCGUAAAGGGAGCGUAGGCGGACUUUUAAGUGAGAUGUGAAAUACCCGAGCUCAACUUGGGUGCUGCAUUUCAAACUGGAAGUCUAGAGUGCAGGAGAGGAGAAUGGAAUUCCUAGUGUAGCGGUGAAAUGCGUAGAGAUUAGGAAGAACACCAGUGGCGAAGGCGAUUCUCUGGACUGUAACUGACGCUGAGGCUCGAAAGCGUGGGGGAGCAAACAGG
rnacentral:rRNA from 1 species